CAACCCUCAAGCCCUGCUUGGUGUUGGGGCGCCACGCGCCGAGCGUGGGCCCCGAAAGACAGUGGCGGGCCCGCCGUGGGCCCGGGCGUAGUAGCGAUAUCUCGCCUGGGACCCGCGGUGUGGCUCCGGCCGUUAAACCCCCUAGAGACAA
rnacentral:misc_RNA from 1 species